UGAAGGCUUGCCCCUGAAAUUAAAGAAAAAAGAAUAUUUUAGAAAUUAUAAAACUAAAAAGUUGUCUCCAUACAAAGCUUUAUCCUUAGUUGAACUUGAUUUUUUUUUUCGGUUUAGACUCUUUUGGUUAUUAGCUUCCUAUGAAGAUGUUUCUGUCUGCAAAGGAUGCAUGCUAUUGUUAUUACAACUUUAGAAUUGUCAGUAGAAAUAUCCGGAAACCGAACAGAUCCAGACCGUAUGGUUAUUCGCUGCAAUUGUUCAGCAUUCUCCACAAAUAACGUAGAUGCGUGAAAAACCUUUCAAAGUAAAUCUUCCGGUCAUUGCUAAGUUGUUGAAGGGAGAUAUACUGCUCCUCCUAAAAUCUCUUAAAACGAAUACAUCUAAGUGAUGUAAGUACGAUAAAAUCUCCUGUCCUCGUAAAUACCCG
rnacentral:lncRNA from 1 species